GUAGGGAAUAUUGCACAAUGGGGGAAACCCUGAUGCAGCGACGCCGCGUGAGUGAUGAAGGCCUUCGGGUCGUAAAGCUCUGUCGUAUGGGACUAACACAAUGAAGGUACCAUGCAAGAAAGGAUCGGCUAACUUCGUGCCAGCAGCCGCGGUAAGACGAGGGAUCCUAGCGUUGUUCGGAAUCAUUGGGCGUAAAGCGGGUGUAGGCGGAUUUAUAAGUCAGGUGUGAAAUCCCAGGGCUCAACCCUGGAAGUGCACUUGAUACUGUAAAUCUUGAGUGUGGUAGAGGUUACUGGAAUUGUUGGUGUAGUGGUGAAAUACGUAGAUAUCAACAGGAAUACCGGAGGCGAAGGCGAGUAACUGGGCCAACACUGACGCUGAGACCCGAAAGCGUGGGGAUCAAGCAGGAUUAGAUACCCGAGUAGUCC
rnacentral:rRNA from 1 species